rnacentral:rRNA from 1 species
GGAAGGAGAAGUCGUAACAAGGUUUCCGUAGGUGAACUGCGGAAGGAUCAUUGUCGAGACCGAAACUAUAUCGAGCGAUUCGGAGAACCCGUGAAAUAAGCGGCGGCGGCAGUCGCCGCGAAACAGCCGUCCCCGCCGUCGCCCCCCCCUCUCGUCUGGAGGGGCCGCGACGGGGCACGGCUGAAACCCCAAACCGGCGCAGAUUGGCGCCAAGGUAACUAUCGAAAAGCACGAGCCCGGCAUCGGGUCUUCGUGGGGCGGAGCGGUGUUAGCGCACCGCACGUAUUGACACGACUCUCGACAAUGGAUAUCUCGGCUCUCGCAUCGAUGAAGAGCGCAGCGAAAUGCGAUACGUGGUGCGAAUUGCAGAAUCCCGCGAACCAUCGAGUCUUUGAACGCAAGUUGCGCCCGAGGCCAAUCGGUCGAGGGCACGUCCGCCUGGGCGUCAACCGCCGCGUCGCUCCGUGCCAAGUCCCCACCGUUCCCACCGCAGUGGGGGUGCCGGGCGAGGCUCGGAUGUGCAGAGUGGCCCGUCGUGCCCACCGGUGCGGCGGGCUGAAGAGCGGGUUAUCUUCUCAUUGGCCACGAACAACGAGGGGUGGAUGAAAGCUGCCGCGGGCGAGGCCCGCGUUGUCUCGUGCCGGCCCGAGUGAAGAUUACACCCUCCGUGCGAUCCCAUCCCACGCGCCGCCCCCGUGCGGCGGCUUGGAAUGCGACCCCAGGAUGGGCGAGACCACCCGCCGAGUUUAAGCAUAUCAAUAAGCGGAGGAAAAG